UGAGCGGUCAAUCGCUCGUCAGACAGCACAGUAACCAUCGGUAGUGGCAGGUUCGCGUUCCCAUUAACAUGUCGCUGAGACAGAAGAGGUUCUCCUCCAAUGGGUAAAGACAUCCAGGGGCGCUGCAGCUAGGGAGCAUUUCCACCCGCAUCCUGGAGGGAAACUGGCCAUAACCACCGGGUUCGUUCUCCGCACUGAGGCCAGAGCAUCCCCAUCCAGGAAGGUUGCCGCAUCUUGACCUGAGCGCCAGCUCUUGGGAUUACCAGGGCCCCUGGUCAUAAACAGAAGCCGGUAAUCAGGUUUGAAGCGUUUCCUGAGAGGCGGUGUGGGCGUUCAGCUCAGCAGUUUCUUUCCUUUUUAUAGGUGUUGGCAGGUUUGAUUGACAGCUCACCUCAGGUUAGAGGACAACCACCCACCAACUGCACACAAUACUGUGGAGAGUCCAGGCUGCAUCAGGCUGCAAGUUACAUCCUGCAAAUGUCCUUUUCAUACAGCUGGAGGAGGCUGGUGGAGUGGGGGUGGAGGGUUGUGUGUGCGGUGUGCAUCCAACCGUGGCGAGAGGAUAAUGGGAAAGCAAAGAGCAUCAUUACCUCUCCAUGCUGCUCUGCACCUCUCGCCUCCCCUGAAUGCUGGGAAAAGACGGAGCGGACGCCGUCGUUUGGAAGCUUUGGAUCUGGACUUGUUUUUGAUAACAGUGAAUUUCAAAAGAUGUCUUUAUUGCUUCAGGCUCGAGUCUCUACGACAGCACUAACUUUAAGCUACAGGCAGCGUCUAAAGCACGGGCAGCAUGCACCGAGGCUCAGGAAGCUCAUGAAACAAGCUGAACUUCUGUUGGGUUUCUUUUUGUCAGAAGUUAAUUUUGUCCUGCUGCUAAACAGCAACUGUGACAAAAAUCUUACAGAACAUUUUCAGAAAGAAAAGAGAAUUAACUUUUGUUUAAAUAAUUUAGUUUUCUUUUAGAUGUAACCUACAUUCAGCCUAGAAUGACAACUAUUCUAGAGUAUUUAGCUUGAGUCCUGCACACAUUGUGUUGUGUUCUUUUGUACAAUUUCUUUUUACUUUUGUAAAUAAAACUUCUGAAAUGUC